ACUGCAAUAAAAGAAAAUAAUUGUUACUUCUGAACUUCAUAGUUGAAAUCCCUGCAAAUAAAAAUAAUAGUAUAGAAUCUUGAAGAAAAGAAUCACAACAUAACGUACCCAUUAAAAUCACGUAAAGAAGACCUAGUAUAUUAUGUUCCAAGGAUAGAGGUAUCAUAAAUGAAACGAAUAGAUGAUUUUUCAAGGAAUAAAAAGGUCUAAUAUUAAAAUCAUAGCAUGGUAUAGCAAGCUGUUGGUCUAUUAAACCUGAUGUUGGUCCCAUUGCUACUUAAUUAGCAGUAAAAAAAAAAAAACAUCUACUCCCUCAGAUCUCAUAG